CAAUAUCCUAAACUUGGAAUUUGUGGCUGU
rnacentral:piRNA from 1 species